GACGGAGGAUGCAAGCGUUAUCCGGAAUUAUUGGGCGUAAAGCGUACGUAGGCGGCUUAUCAAGUCUGGGGUCAAAGACCACAGCUUAACUGUGGAAAGGCCUUGGAAACUGGUGAGCUGGAGUGAGGUAGGGGUUGCGGGAAUUCCCGGUGUAGCGGUGAAAUGCGUAGAUAUCGGGAAGAACACCAGCGGCGAAAGCGCGCAACUGGGCCAUUACUGACACUGAGGGACGAAAGCUAGGGGAGCGAAUGGG
rnacentral:rRNA from 1 species